rnacentral:rRNA from 1 species
GAUGAACGCUGGCGGCGUGCCUAAUACAUGCAAGUCGAGCGAACAGACGAGGAGCUUGCUCCUCUGACGUUAGCGGCGGACGGGUGAGUAACACGUGGAUAACCUACCUAUAAGACUGGGAUAACUUCGGGAAACCGGAGCUAAUACCGGAUAAUAUAUUGAACCGCAUGGUUCAAUAGUGAAAGACGGUUUUGCCGUCACUUAUAGAUGGAUCCGCGCCGCAUUAGCUAGUUGGUAAGGUAACGGCUUACCAAGGCAACGAUGCGUAGCCGACCUGAGAGGGUGAUAGGCCACACUGGAACUGAGACACGGUCCAGACUCCUACGGGAGGCAGCAGUAGGGAAUCUGCCGCAAUGGGCGAAAGCCUGACGGAGCAACGCCGCGUGAGUGAUGAAGGUCUUCGGAUCGUAAAACUCUGUUAUUAGGGAAGAACAAAUGUGUAAGUAACUAUGCACGUCUUGACGGUACCUAAUCAGAAAGCCACGGCUAACUACGUG